rnacentral:pre_miRNA from 1 species
AAAUUCAAGAAUUUCAGAUGCUUUAAAUUCCCGACAGAUUCUUGCGAUGACCAAAUGGAUUUCGGGAUUUAAAUUAUUUUAAAUUCCCGA